rnacentral:misc_RNA from 1 species
GUGAAUCAUCGAAUCUUUGAACGCAUCUUGCACUUUUCAGGUCUCCUGAAAAGUAUACUUGUUUGAGUAUCAUUAACAUUAACUCCAAGUUAACUCUUGGGAAUUGGAACGUCAAGCUGCGAGAGUAGCAUGUGUUCUUUAAUUGAUACGUGGAGUGAUUCUUGCGUGUGUGUGUGCAAACACAACACACCUGGAAGCCUAACAAUCAAAUGUGAGAUAAACAUCGCACAAAGUAGUUGACAGGUCAAGCUCUGCUACGCCUAGAAGCUUCGGCUUCACCUCGUAUCUGUGAUCUCAAAU